ensembl:lncRNA
GUACAGCAGCCUAGACCGCCUCUCGCGUGGGGACGGUCGCCCAGGCACCAGGCGAAGGACGGGCGGGGCACUGUCCCGCCUCAGCCUCCCCGCGCCUCGCACGCGCGGGUCACGUGACGCAGGCGGCCCCGCUGCGCCCCCAGUCGACGCCGCUCAGCUGGCGCCUCGCUUCUGCUCUGACAGCCGGCGUGCGGAGGGUGGGUGCGAUCGGAGGGUGCAGAGCCGCGCUGACACGCUCGUGUGUGCGCGUGCUGUGCAUCCAUGCACACGCAGCAGAGAUCACCUCGGACGUCGAGGUCAGCUGGAUACCACGGACACAGGCAGGGGAGAGCUGAGCAAGCUGAAAGGUUGGGGGCAGGCGACCCAGCGUCCACGAGGCCAACGCAGAAGAGCCCAGCAGCGGGACCUGGGACAGGACCCGAGGUUCAGGGCUCUUUGGCCAGCCCGACUCGGCCUCCUGUCAGGAGGGUGUGGAGAGCUAUGCCCCAGGUUAGGUGCAGGUCAGGCCCGCGUCAUGACAGGGACAGCGAGGGCAGGUGCGGGGGACUGGAGGGAUAGAGCGGGACAUUUCACGGGCAGCGCUGCUCCUCCUGCCCCUCUGCCCCUGACGACUCGGACCCGGCCCGGGCUUGGCCAGCCCUGCAGGGCCCCGAUGCGCUCCCGCCCCGCCAUCCUGCUGGGUGUCUGGGAGCUGAGGACCCCGGCAGUCACAGCGCCCCCCGUUGGCUGUGAACACAGCAGUCUUCGUCAGGAAUCCCCCUCCGCCUGUGGUCUCAGCCUUCUCAGUUCACGCCCAGCCUGGGCGACAGGGGACUUAGUGAGACUCUGACUCAAAAAAAAAAAAGGGCUGGGGUGGGAGCCCAGUGCAAAGGCCCUGGGUUCUCCCGCAGCAGCGCGCGUGCGCACACACACUCACUGCCAUUUUCCUCCCCUCCCAUCUGGGCGGCUGUGACUCGAUUGCCCACUUUAGACGCUGGAGAGGGGACACUGCAGGGCUCCCCUGGGAGGGAGAACAGCGAGGCGACAGGGAGGACCUGCAGGUCUGGCCUUGGACACAGGAGAGGCCGGGCCACCCUGCCGAGCCCUCCCUGAGCUCCUGAUCUCUGUGCUGCUUCCUGCCCUGCACCCUGUCUCGGCAGGCCAUUUCUGAGGGGGAUCGGGGCUGAGGCAGGACGAUCUCUUCAGACCAGCAUAUUGGACACACCCAAAACCGACGUUGGUAAAACCUUAUGUGUACCAUAAGGAGCUUGAAUAACAGUUCAAUUCCAGCAGUUUGGCCAGGGCAAUUGCUACCUUUUUUGUUUAUUUAUUGAGGUUUAACUUACAGAAGGUGAAAUGCUCAGACUUUUUUAGGUACUAGAGAUUGAAUCCAGGGCCUUUGUGCUGAGCUACAUCCCCGCCCUUUUUUACUUUUUAUUUUGUCCCACAGGGUGCAGGACAGAUCGAAGGAGAGCCUGCCACGGUCCUCAGGUCACAGUGCACCCCCACUUGAACAGUGCGGCCCUGCUGUAGCUCUCCCUGUCCCCUGUCUCCAGUCCUCCUGAGCUGCGCGGGGCAUCAAGCGUCCUUCUUCCUUCCCGGACUCUUCCCCUCCCUGGGCAGAGGGCUUGGUGGAGGAGCAUUUGUCUAGUGCAUGUGAGGCCUGUGUUUGACCUCCAGCACUGCGUGAACCCUGGGUUCUAACUGUCAGCUUCCUGCCCCAGGGCCCUUGCACAAACGUCCCCUCUUCUGAGGACCCGCCCCUUCCUGGAGCUCCACCUCAGAUGUGAGCACCGGUCCGGAUGGCAUCGAGGGCUUUCCUGAAGCUUGGCUGAGGCCUUUGAGACUGCAGAUGCCGCCGUGAAUGCCUUGGCUGCGCCUCCAUGGUCUCCACGGGCAGUGCGUGUGGCGCCGAUUUCUCCACAUCUCCAUUUACUUUUUAAAGUUCCAGCGGCACGGCACCUCGUGGUCAGGAGAGGGGCUGAGGCCCACGGAGAGAAACUCAAGGGCGCAAGUGCACAGCCUGCGGCCAGCAGGGGCGGGGCCCGCAGCUGGCCCUGCCCUGGGGACCGGUGGGGGUUGCUGUUCUCCGACAGAGCCAAGGCCGUGGUCAGCUCUGGAGAGCGCCAUUAUCCUGGACGUGGGGGACCGGGGUGUGACAGCGAGACAGGACUGGGGCCAGGAGAGGGGGAGCUUAGGCCUGGAUCCGAAGCCGCAGGCAGGAGAGGGCCCUGCGGGGAGGGAGAAGAGGCAGGGUUAGCCCUUCCAACCAGGCAAAGCCGGAAGAGGCCUUCAGGGUGCUUGAGUGUGAGUUAAGUACAGUGUCACUGUCCAGGGGGUGGGAAAAGUUCCACGAUCAAACAGUUGUGGGAACGCUCUAUAUCAGUGGUGGCAAACCUUUCAUUUCUCCUUUUUUAAAUUUUCUGGUUUUCUGAGGCAGGGUCUCUCUAUGCAGUUCAGGUUGGUCUUGAACUCACUAGGUAGCUCAGGCUGGCCCUAAACGUGGGGAUCCUCCUGCCUCAGCCUCCCGAGGGCU